rnacentral:rRNA from 1 species
CAAUAGCGUAUAUUAAAGUUGUUGCAGUUAAAAAGCUCGUAGUUGGAUUUCUGAUCGAGACAUCAGGUCGGGUCCGAGAGGAUCAUGUACUUUGAUUUUGUUUUGAUCAUCCUUGGGGAGAGCAUUUCUGGCAUUCAGUUGUCGGGAUUGGGAUCCUCAUCGUUUACUGUGAAAAAAUUAGAGUGUUCAAAGCAGGCCUCGGCCUCUGAAUACAUUAGCAUGGAAUAAUAAGAUAGGACUUUGGUGGUCUAUUUUGUUGGUUUGCACGCCAAAGUAAUGAUUAAUAGGGAUAGUUGGGGGUAUUCGUAUUCAAUUGUCAGAGGUGAAAUUCUUGGAGUUAUGGAAGACGAACUACUGCGAAAGCAUUUACCAAGGAUGUUUUCAUUAA